rnacentral:rRNA from 1 species
AGAGUUUGAUCAUGGCUCAGAUUGAACGCUGGCGGCAGGCCUAACACAUGCAAGUCGAACGGUAACAGGAAGAAGCUUGCUUCUUUGCUGACGAGUGGCGGACGGGUGAGUAAUGUCUGGGAAACUGCCUGAUGGAGGGGGAUAACUACUGGAAACGGUAGCUAAUACCGCAUAACGUCGCAAGACCAAAGAGGGGGACCUUCGGGCCUCUUGCCAUCGGAUGUGCCCAGAUGGGAUUAGCUAGUAGGUGGGGUAACGGCUCACCUAGGCGACGAUCCCUAGCUGGUCUGAGAGGAUGACCAGCCACACUGGAACUGAGACACGGUCCAGACUCCUACGGGAGGCAGCAGUGGGGAAUAUUGCACAAUGGGCGCAAGCCUGAUGCAGCCAUGCCGCGUGUAUGAAGAAGGCCUUCGGGUUGUAAAGUACUUUCAGCGGGGAGGAAGGGAGUAAAGUUAAUACCUUUGCUCAUUGACGUUACCCGCAGAAGAAGCACCGGCUAACUCCGUGCCAGCAGCCGCGGUAAUACGGAGGGUGCAAGCGUUAAUCGGAAUUACUGGGCGUAAAGCGCACGCAGGCGGUUUGUUAAGUCAGAUGUGAAAUCCCCGGGCUCAACCUGGGAACUGCAUCUGAUACUGGCAAGCUUGAGUCUCGUAGAGGGGGGUAGAAUUCCAGGUGUAGCGGUGAAAUGCGUAGAGAUCUGGAGGAAUACCGGUGGCGAAGGCGGCCCCCUGGACGAAGACUGACGCUCAGGUGCGAAAGCGUGGGGAGCAAACAGGAUUAGAUACCCUGGUAGUCCACGCCGUAAACGAUGUCGACUUGGAGGUUGUGCCCUUGAGGCGUGGCUUCCGGAGCUAACGCGUUAAGUCGACCGCCUGGGGAGUACGGCCGCAAGGUUAAAACUCAAAUGAAUUGACGGGGGCCCGCACAAGCGGUGGAGCAUGUGGUUUAAUUCGAUGCAACGCGAAGAACCUUACCUGGUCUUGACAUCCACGGAAGUUUUCAGAGAUGAGAAUGUGCCUUCGGGAACCGUGAGACAGGUGCUGCAUGGCUGUCGUCAGCUCGUGUUGUGAAAUGUUGGGUUAAGUCCCGCAACGAGCGCAACCCUUAUCCUUUGUUGCCAGCGGUCCGGCCGGGAACUCAAAGGAGACUGCCAGUGAUAAACUGGAGGAAGGUGGGGAUGACGUUAAGUCAUCAUGGCCCUUACGACCAGGGCUACACACGUGCUACAAUGGCGCAUACAAAGAGAAGCGACCUCGCGAGAGCAAGCGGACCUCAUAAAGUGCGUCGUAGUCCGGAUUGGAGUCUGCAACUCGACUCCAUGAAGUCGGAAUCGCUAGUAAUCGUGGAUCAGAAUGCCACGGUGAAUACGUUCCCGGGCCCUGUACACACCGCCCGUCACACCAUGGGAGUGGGUUGCAAAAGAAGUAGGUAGCUUAACCUUCGGGAGGGCGCUUACCACUUUGUGAUUCAUGACUGGGGUGAAGUCGAAACAAGGUA